GAUGAACGCUGGCGGUAUGCUUAACACAUGCAAGUCGAACGGACUCUUCGGAGUUAGUGGCGGACGGGUGAGGAACGCGUGAGAAUCUGGCUUUGGGUUCGGGACAACCACUGGAAACGGUGGCUAAUACCGGAUGUGCCGAGAGGUAAAAGAGAAAUUGCCUGAAGAUGAGCUCGCGUCUGAUUAGCUAGUUGGUGAGGUAAAGGCUCACCAAGGCAGCGAUCAGUAGCUGGUCUGAGAGGAUGACCAGCCACACUGGGACUGAGACACGGCCCAGACUCCUACGGGAGGCAGCAGUGGGGAAUUUUCCGCAAUGGGCGAAAGCCUGACGGAGCAAUACCGCGUGAGGGAAGAAGGCUCUUGGGUUGUAAACCUCUUUUCUUAGGGAAGAACAAAAUGACGGUACCUAAGGAAUCAGCAUCGGCUAACUCCGUG
rnacentral:rRNA from 1 species